UACGUAGGGGGCAAGCGUUGUCCGGAAUCAUUGGGCGUAAAGAGCGCGUAGGCGGUCCGGUAAGUCCGCUCUGAAAGUCCGGGGCUCAACCCCGGGAGGCGGGCGGAUACUGCCGGGCUAGAGUCCGGAAGAGGCGAGUGGAAUUCCUGGUGUAGCGGUGAAAUGCGCAGAUAUCAGGAGGAACACCGAUGGCGAAGGCAGCUCGCUGGGACGGUACUGACGCUGAGGCGCGAAAGCUAGGGGAGCGAACGGG
rnacentral:rRNA from 1 species